rnacentral:rRNA from 1 species
GGAGCUAACGCAAUAANCACUCCGCCUGGGGAGUACGNCCGCAAGGUUGAAACUCAAAGGAAUUGNCGGGGGCCCGCACAAGCGGUGGAGCAUGUGGUUUANUUNGAAGCAACGCGAAGANCCUUACCAGGUCUUGACAUCCCGAUGCUAUUCUUAGAGAUAGGAAGUUACUUCGGUACAUCGGAGACAGGUGGUGCAUGGUUGUCGUCAGCUCGUGUCGUGAGAUGUUGGGUUAAGUCCCGCAACGAGCGCAACCCUUAUUGUUAGUUGCCAUCAUUAAGUUGGGCACUCUAGCGAGACUGCCGGUAAUAAACCGGAGGAAGGUGGGGAUGACGUCAAAUCAUCAUGCCCCUUAUGACCUGGGCUACACACGUGCUACAAUGGUCGGUACAACGAGUUGCGAGCCGGUGACGGCAAGCUAAUCUCUGAAAGCCGAUCUCAGUUCGGAUUGGAGGCUGCAACUCGCCUCCAUGAAGUCGGAAUCGCUAGUAAUCGCGGAUCAGCACGCCGCGGUGAAUACGUUCCCGGGCCUUGUACACACCGCCCGUCACACCACGAGAGUUUGUAACACCCGAAGUCGGUGAGGUANCCUUUUAGGG